AGUAGAAUUACUGGGUUAUAUGGUAGCGCUGUUUUUAACUUUUUGAGGAAUUGCCAAACUGUUUUCCAAAGUGAAUGUGCCAUUUUACAUUCCCACCAGUAAU
rnacentral:pre_miRNA from 1 species